CCUCAACCAUCUGCAGAACCCCGGCGACGGCUUGGACGGCAGGGCGGCCAAGAGAUGCGAGAAGGCCGAGGAGAAGGCCAAGGAGAUCGCGAAGAUGGCAGAGAUGCUGGUGGAGCUGGUGCGGCGGAUAGAGAGAAGCGAGUCGUCCUGAAGGAGCGCGGGCGGUUCACAGCUGAUGGAUGCUGGUCACCUGGGCUGACACCAGGAGAAAGCUGAAGUAGCUUGUUUAUUCUGUUUUUGUAUGUUUCUUAUCUGCAUGCGACAGUCUCCUUCAGGGUCAGUGGUUGUGUAAGCGAGCCAAAAGAGAAUUCUUCCCUCGGAUGCACAGCAAGCCAGUAAAAGACUGACAUGGAGAUUUUGCAAUGAGGAAAGGUAGGCUAUUUAUUGGAGAACAGGGAGCUAAGGCUUCAAGUCCCAAACUGCCCGAUGACUUACAGGUGAGGGUUUUUAAGCGCAAAAUUUGGUCAGGGGGUGUCUCAGCAGGUGGAUGCUGUUGGUGGUUUGGAGGUGAAGUUGUGUUCACAGGCUUACUUAGUUAUUCUGGUCCCACAGAGGUCUGUCUGUUCAAUUUCGAGAGACUUAGAAUUUGAAGAAUGUCUUUCUUUCUUUCUUUUUUUUUUUUUUUUUAAAGAUUUUAUUUGUCAGACAGAGCGCACAAGUAGCGGGAGCCCCAGGCAGAAGGAGAAGCAGGCUCCCCACUCUACGAGGAGCCCAAUGCGGGGUCAGUCCCAGGACCCUGGGGUCAUGACUUGAACCAAAGGCAGAUGCCUAACUGACUGAGCCACCCAGGCGUCCCCAAAAUGUCUUUCUUUUGUUAGAGAUUUCAUUAGGUACAUCUGGUGAUUCUGUGGUUAGGAUAGUGUUGAUCAGUGGCUUGUACACGCCUAAAUAAGCUACUUGUCUGGGCGUAAGUUAACGGGCUUGGAUCCUUUGUGUUCCUUUGAAUGAUCAAGUAUGCCUGGGUCUUGAGCCUGGGUCUGUGUGUUUCCUGGCCAGUCCAGCUGUGCCCCGGGAAGAUAAGACCUCUUAAGUUCAAAUCAGACAUGUGAUCGAUAAGUGUUCAUUUGCCUUGAAAAAACAAAGAUCUGUAGAAAAUCUUUUUUCAAAUAAAGAUGUUGUGCAGAAGACCAAA